rnacentral:misc_RNA from 1 species
UACGUAGGUGGCAAGCGUUAUCCGGAAUUAUUGGGCGUAAAGCGCGCGUAGGCGGUCUGUUAAGUCUGAUGUGAAAUCCCCCGGCUCAACCGGGGAGGGUCAUUGGAAACUGGCAGACUUGAGUGCAGAAGAGGAGAGUGGAAUUCCUGGUGUAGCGGUGAAAUGCGCAGAUAUCAGGAGGAACACCGAUGGCGAAGGCAGGUCUCUGGUCUGCAACUGACGCUGAGGUGCGAAAGCGUGGGGAUCAAACAGG